AUACGUAGGGGGCAAGCGUUGUCCGGAAUUACUGGGCGUCAAGCGCACGCAGGCUGACUUAUAAGUCGGUAGUCUAAUGCGGAGGCUCAACUUCCGUUUAUCUGUCGAUACUGUAAGACUAGAGUAUGUGAGAGGGAAGUGGAAUUCCCGGUGUAGCGGUGACAUGCGUAGAUAUCGGGAGGAACACCAGUGGCGAAGGCGACUUCCUGGCACAAUACUGACGCUCAUGUGCGAAAGCUAGGGUAGCGAACGGGAUUAGAUACCCCGGUAGUCCUAGCCGUAAACGAUGGAUACUAGGUGUGGGUGUCGCAGGGCAUCCGUGCCGCAGCUAACGCGUUAAGUAUCCCGCCUGGGGACUACGGUCGCAAGACUGAAACUCAAAGGAAUUGACGGGG
rnacentral:rRNA from 1 species